UGGGGAAUCUUGCACAAUGGGGGCAACCCUGAUGCAGCGACGCCGCGUGAGCGAUGAAGCCCUUCGGGGCGUAAAGCUCUUUCGACCGGAACGAUAAUGACGGUACCGGGAGAAGAAGCUGCGGCUAACUACGUGCCAGCAGCCGCGGUAAUACGUAGGCAGCAAGCGUUGUUCGGAGUUACUGGGCGUAAAGAGUGCGUAGGCGGUUUUCUAAGUUCGGUGUGAAAUCUCCCGGCUUAACUGGGAGGGUGCGCCGAAGACUGGGAAGCUGGAGUGUGGGAAAGGCGGGCGGAAUUCCUGGUGUCGCGGUGAAAUGCGUAGAUAUCAGGAGGAACACCGGCGGUGUAGACGGCUUGCUAGACCAUAACUGACGCUGAGGCACGAAAGCGUGGGUAGCAAACA
rnacentral:rRNA from 1 species